rnacentral:rRNA from 1 species
CAGUAGCCGCGGUAAUACGUAGGGUGCGAGCGUUAAUCGGAAUUACUGGGCGUAAAGCGUGCGCAGGCGGUUCGUUAAGACAGAUGUGAAAUCCCCAAGCUUAACCUGGGAACUGCAUUUGUGACUGACGGGCUAGAGUAUGGCAGAGGGGGGUAGAAUUCCACGUGUAGCAGUGAAAUGCGUAGAGAUGUGGAGGAAUACCGAUGGCGAAGGCAGCCCCCUGGGCCAAUACUGACGCUCAUGCACGAAAGCGUGGGGAGCAAACAGGAUUAGAUACCCGCGUAGUCCCUGUCUCUUAUAC